UGUGGGGAUAGCCUUAUCUUGGUCCA
rnacentral:piRNA from 1 species